GUCUUGGAGAUUCCUUCCAAACACUUUCAUGAGCUUUUUUCACUAGUGAAUGAAAUAUUUAAAUAAUUCAAUUAUAUAAAAAGUAUAAAUCUAUAUAACUUCAAUUCAAUUAUUUACCAUGAGCUUCAAUGAGCGGGGAAUUCUUUGGUAGCAGUUGAAAAGCUUCGUGAUGGAUAAUAUUGUUCAAUUUGAGUGGGUUGAACCAGAACGCGACCACUAUUUCCUAAGAGCCCAAGAUUUAGAGAACUGUGUGACAGAAAGAAUAUUAAGAAACACAUUCCAUGACCCAUUGAUUUCUAGCAGUGAUAGUGAAGAGUCCAAUGAUAUUAAUUGGAAAGAUAUUUUUAGUCAAAAACAAAAUGCAAACCAAAACCACCGUCUCUUUGUGCCAGGCUGUCGGCCUGUGCCAAAGUACCCCAAGUUAUCAUCGCUCACUGCGAUAGAACACACACAAUGCCUCAAAGUGAUGUGCGUGAAGAGUCCACACAUACUGCCGCUGAAGCCAUUCCCGAAGCCCGGUAAAAUGGAUUAUAAAGUGUUUGAGGAAAUCAAAAAGGAAUAUGAAGCGGAACAAAAAGAAUACCUAGCUUGGGCGAAAUCCCUCUGGGCUACUGAGCACUGUAUCAAAGCGUUACGACCAAAGCCACAUGUGGAAUUAGUAUAUGAAGCCCAGUAUAAAAUGAGGGCGCACGAGUUACAGUCGUAUCCGAAGAACUAUGAACUAGCCGCACAAAUACCAUUGGAAGCGAGGAAUGAUCAAUGUGAAUUUGUGUUUGUGGAAGAUUUAAUUAGCAUUGAUGCCACAGACCUACCACAGAUCCAAAAUGAAAUGAUAGAAGAUAAAAUUUUCAUUAUGAAAAACAAUGCAGUACCUGAACCAUGCAAUAAGCAUCCAUGCAAGUUUAUUUUACCAAGAGAGAAAUCAGUAUCAGUGCUACCACUAACAGAAAUAGAAAGAGAAUUAGCGCAAUACGCACUCGAGCACAACACACGGUACAUAGCUAGUGAGAGCGCGCUGCGUUGCUUGCUGUCGCUGGACCAACAUUGGUACAUCACUGUGCGAGUGUGUGACGUCAUUGGCUCGGAUGGCGAAAAAUCAAAUGUAAUAGUGUUAGGAAGUGAAUUUUCCAUAAAAAAAGAGUCAAUUAUGCGCAGGACGUAUAAGGCUUUUAGACAUCUGUUGGAAGAUGCACUUGUACCGUUAUCAGAAAAGGGGAGGAUCAUGAACAAAUUGAUUAGAAACUCUGAAAGAGAUAGUAAUGUAAAUACAAAUGUAUCAAAUGUCGAAAAUAACAAUAUGGAACCGUCCAGUGAUGAUGAAGACGAUGGUUUAUGUAUAGAUACAGGUGAAGAUCUUCAAGAAAAUAGUGAUGUAGAAACUAAAACUGAUCAACAGGAACAACAGAAAUCUCAAGAAAACACUAAUAACAAUUUAGAAAAGUCGGAUAACAAUAAUUCUACCGCGUCUAUAGGAUUUUAUGAAUGCACAUGUAAAGAUACGAUAUUCGAGUUACCAGCACAACGGUCAUACAAAAAGUGGCAAGUGAGAAGCAAAACUUCUGGCGAAAAAUACGACCUUAUAGUGCAUUGUGCGCAUAGAGCACGGGGUUCGACCAGCGAAGUAAUACUAGAGCCGAUACCAGAAUACCAGUUGGAAUUAGGAGCUAGUUCGCUGUCUCAGCACAAAUUAGCUAGCUUAGCUCUAGCUCUGCAUUUGAGGAGGAAAGCUGCCCUUAUGAAUGUGCGAUUAGAUGGUGUGUCCGGAGAAAUAGUGACGAUGGAAAAGUUGUAUCAAAAUGAAUUCAGCAAUAAGUAUGGCGACAUGUUGCCCAACAUCGCGAACAUAUUGCACGCGACUUUGAACCAACUACAGGGACUGUUGCCGGGUUAUUAUAUAUUGCAUCAUGAGCCAAGCCACGGAACAAACGCCCUAUUAUACUGUCCAAAGAAAUCAAGUGGGAACAACACAUUGACUCUAAAUUUGGAUCUAUCUCAAAUGCCCGACGAGUCGAGCGCAUUGAAAACUCCGCCCACUAUAUCUUUGGAUAUGUUGCCGAUGCAUAAAUUUCGCAGAAUAUUGCCAUGUGCAUUCACACCGUACCAAGACCAGUUGCCCCGAAAGCCGAUCACUCGCAGUAAAACUCCGCCCCAGGCUCUCAAGAGCGCAGCGGGCAGAGCGGGCAAGCGCGGGAAGCGAAAGCGAAAGAAAUAGACGCGUGGGAUAUAUACCGCCGCUAGUGACGCGCCACCUGUCGAUAGUCGCCCGUAGUGAUGUCUGUUGUCGAUGGAUUCGCCGUGGGUAUUGUGGCCACGGCGAAAGAAAAAUAAAAAGAAGAAAGCUCGAGCAAAUGUUUAGCCUGGCGGAGACAUCACUAUUUUUUCAUAAAUAUAAUAUUUUUCAGGAUAGGUUAUGUUAUAAAUCAAUCAUCUUAUGUCUUCAAUUAAGUUUAAAAGAGAUUGAAUUGAGGGAAUUUUCAUGCUAAUAUUUUAUAAUAUUUAUAAUAUUUUCGACUCUUCGACAGUGGCAAAGCGCCAAAUCGUUUAUUCGAAUAUUUAUAUUCUGAAUACAAAUACGUUACAUUUAUACUUAAAAAGUAAAUAAUAUUAAAAGAAAUUGUUGUUGUACUGUUAUGUUAAUAUUAAUAAAGUACGAAAUAUUAAA